rnacentral:rRNA from 1 species
GUCCACGCCCUAAACGAUGUCUACUAGUUGUCGGGUCUUAAUUGACUUGGUAACGCAGCUAACGCGUGAAGUAGACCGCCUGGGGAGUACGGUCGCAAGAUUAAAACUCAAAGGAAUUGACGGGGACCCGCACAAGCGGUGGAUGAUGUGGAUUAAUUCGAUGCAACGCGAAAACCUUACCUACCCUUGACAUGGAUGGAAUUCCGGAGAGAUUUGGAAGUGCCCGAAAGGGAACCAUUACACAGGUGCUGCAUGGCUGUCGU